UACGUAGGGGGCGAGCGUUGUCCGGAUUUAUUGGGCGUAAAGAGCUCGUAGGCGGUUCGAUAAGUCGGACGUGAAAUCUCCACGCUCAACGUGGAGGGGCCGUUCGACACUGUCGUGACUCGAGUCCGGUAGGGGAGUGUGGAAUUCCCGGUGUAGCGGUGAAAUGCGCAGAGAUCGGGAGGAACACCCGUAGCGAAGGCGGCACUCUGGGCCGGUACUGACGCUGAGGAGCGAAGGCCAGGGGAGCAAACGGG
rnacentral:rRNA from 1 species